UAAUAGUUUCACUGACAUGGGCUAGGCCAAACUCCUACCAAAGUGUUGCUCAUUCAAAAUUUGUAUGAACAGACUAGAUCGGUAAUCUAAUAUUUGUAUGCAUAUGACAAAUAUGAUCCAUGAUCUUUAACUUGAAUCUUCAAAUGAUUUUAGCUACUUCCAAUUUCGGUGUGGUCGCAUUGUUGAUCGCGUUGAAACUGCAUAUGCUAAUGUAGAUCCGACUUGAGUCUCGAGUUUGUAGGUAUGGAGUUGAUUCACCUCUCUAUUGGUUUCUGGCUCUUUGAAUAUAUGUUUCUGUUGCCUCAAUAUUACAUCAUUUAUUUCUGGCAAAUCAAUGUGAUCAUAUAUGAGGAGGACCAUUUUGCAACAAAGAAUUUACAGGUGUUCCCAUUGAAUUAAGAGAUAGAGUUAUAUGUUUGUCAUUCGUGUGUACUAACACCUACUGCUACUCAUGAUUUUGAUGGUGGAGCAAUGUGGGGUCUGUUGACCCUUAAGCAUAGGGGGGAGCACAAUGGCGGUUGCAGGCCUCCACCACUUUUGCGCUUCAAAAUAAGAGCUUAGUUGCGGUCGAUGAAGAAGCAUCUCCUUAGAAGUGGAACUGCCUCCCUUAGGCACCAUGGCUGGGAGGAAAUCGAUGAGCCUGUGAAGUACCGUUCCUCUAAAUGGCCUUGUGCACGUAUCUGUUUCACUUCAAUCUCAGGCAUUAUCUCAUGUUUGCUAGAUAUAAGGACCUGUUAGCACGCCGGGUUUAUUGCGUUCAGUAUUAUCAUGUUGUAAUACAUUAUGAUAUUUCUGAUUUGUUUUGAAUUUUCGUAGUGAGUUACGAAUUA